rnacentral:tRNA from 1 species
GCAGUCGUGGCCGAGUGGUUAAGGUGAUGGACUAGAAAUCCAUUGGGGUCUCCCCGCACAGGUUCGAAUCCUGUCAACUGCG